rnacentral:rRNA from 1 species
AUGCAACUCUGGUCGCUGGAGGGGGCGGCGGAGAUCAUCGGCGACAAGUGCGUCGUCGAUCGGCUUGACACGCGCACCCACGAAUGCGGCCACACCAAGACCUUCGCGUGCUGGGUGUGGGUGUGGGACAUCGCCAACAUCCCCACCAGACGCAUCAUUUGGCGGGCGAAGCACGGGGCGGGGUGCGUUGUGGCCAUGCUCGGGCACUCGCCGCCCAGCCGUGAGGUCGCCCCGCCACCCGGAGUAAGAAGGCAUGACAUGCUGGUCCACGUCGACAGGGUGGAAGACUGGACCCCGCCGUCCCCGCGCCCCUCCCGCUCCGCCCAGAGCGGCCUCCUCUCCUCGGGCUCUAAUGACGGCGCCCCUUUCCCAGCUGUCUACCCGGGCACCUGGACCCGGCGGGUGGAGGAUGGGCAGGGCCACGCCAGGAGGGAGCCACCGACGGUGGCCCCUUCUGGCUGCCAGGGACUGCAGCUGGGCGGCGCUCGCCGUGACCACGAUGACCCCGAUGGUGAUGGCCACAGUGGCCGUCGCUCUUGGAAGGACACACUGUUGGGUCGGGGCCACGCCAGCCGCCCGCUUGCAGCAUAG